CCUACGGGGGGCUGCAGUGGGGAAUAUUGGACAAUGGGGGGAACCCUGAUCCAGCCAUGCCGCGUGUGUGAAGAAGGCCCUCGGGUUGUAAAGCACUUUCAGUGAGGAAGAACGCCUGGUGGUUAAUACCCAUCAGGAAAGACAUCACUCACAGAAGAAGCACCGGCUAACUCCGUGCCAGCAGCCGCGGUAAUACGGAGGGUGCGAGCGUUAAUCGGAAUUACUGGGCGUAAAGCGCGCGUAGGUGGCUUGAUAAGCCGGUUGUGAAAGCCCCGGGCUCAACCUGGGAACGGCAUCCGGAACUGUCAAGCUAGAGUGCAGGAGAGGAAGGUAGAAUUCCCGGUGUAGCGGUGAAAUGCGUAGAGAUCGGGAGGAAUACCAGUGGCGAAGGCGGCCUUCUGGACUGACACUGACACUGAGGUGCGAAAGCGUGGGUAGCAAACAGGAUUAGAUACCCGAGUAUC
rnacentral:rRNA from 1 species